CACAAAAUGAGGGCACGCAGGACUUGAAACUGGAAGCUUUUUUUCUGGCUCCUCACACAAGCCAAGAACAGAAAGCUGAAGCUGCAGUGCACAUGGACGAUAGGGUCACAAUUUGGAACCUACAGAUUGAAUCCAUAGCUCCAACCUGCCUUGCGUCAACACUCCAAGUUGGUGUCGGUGGUUCAAUGGUGUGAGUAAUGUUUUCUUGGCACACUUUGGGCCCGUUAAUACCAAUUAAUCAUAGCUUGAAUACCACACCCUAUUGAAGGGUUGUUGUUGAUCAUAUGCAUCACUUCAUGGCCACAAUUUACCAUCUUUUAAUAGCUACUUUCAGCAUGAUAAUGCUGUAACAAAGCAAAAAACUAGUUUCAUGAAUGAGUCCUGUGUUAUUUGAUGGCCUUUCCAGUCAGUGGAUCUAAAUCAAACAAAUUCAGAUGGAGGAACGGAAGUUUUGCAGCCUGAAAGUGCACCUGAAUAUUUUGCAGGAAUUGUGUGAAGUCAACCUGGAGCACAUGCCACAAAGGAAUGUUUCCAACAUCUUGUGGAAUCCAUGCCAAGAAGGAUUGAGGCUGCUCUGAGAGCAAAGGGAGGCCCUAGCUGGUGUUAUAGUGUUCUUUAUAAAGACUUCUUUGAAGUUUUCGAAAUGCCUGCAGAUAAAACCAUAGUCUGCCUCAUCCGAGAUGGAAAGACGGGAAGAUAAACCUCUGGGAACCACCAUCUCUAAGAAACUGAAAGGGGAAGCUAGCAUCGACUGUAUUGCUUAAAAGUCUGAGCAAAAAAAAAAUUUGAUUCCUGAGAUAGCUGAGGAAGUUCAACCAACCACAGAAGUCUGUCUUUGGCACCUCAUCAGCAGUCUGCUUUGGCACUGUAACCAAUAAUUAGCUGAACAGGCUGCAACACAUUGUCGAGUUAGCUGAAAUGCUCAUAUGAAGAUAUCUGUACUCUUUGACCACCACAUACUUGAACUUGUUCCCUCCAGCAGCUCAGUGUGUAUUCAAAUCCACCAGACUUAAUAGCUUCCUUCCCAGAUGCAAUCAGAUUUAGGAGCACUUCAUUUCCACACAAAUAUAGAGAGUCACUCUAAGCAUUGUGUUUUGUGGUCAGUGGUUUUUCAGUGUAGUAUUCUUCUUCAGUAUUCUUAUAUGUCUUCUUCUUCUUCUUCUUCUUCUUCUUCUUCUUCUUCUACUUUUAAAUAGCAAAUUAAAUAGAUAUAUUGUAAAGCCUACCUAUUAAUAUUAUUAUAUUAAUAGGUAGACUAUAAGACACAUUUUUUGUACAUGUCUAAGUGUUUAAUUAUAUGACCAGUGUUCUAUUGUAUUAAGUGAAAGCACAAUUCUGUACCAUUUUGCUUGUGUCUUUGUCAGGGAAAAUAGCUCAAAUGAAUGAAGCGUAUGAACAAAUACCAAAACACUCUUUGCUAUAUUUGUAAUAACUAGUCUCAUUUCAUUAGCAAGGUCAAACAAAAGCCUUUUACUAAGAUCAUUUUGUUUACUUAACUAAAGGCUCCGCUGUAUUAAGGUCAGUAGGGACCAAACAAUGAGUGAGGAAGAAAAAUACAGUUAUGCAAAAGCAGAAUGCUAUAUAGUGAAUUUCUGAACCGAAAUCCACUUGUAUUCAGUUUGAUAUAAUGCUGAUAAAGUUUAAACAAACCCAGCAGGUUUUAAUAUAAGCAUAUGGUUUCUGUCCUCAUGACUGCAUAAACAUUUAACAAUUUCCUGGUGUAUGUCCCAGGAACUGAGGGAAAGUUUUCUGUCCAAGAAUGACAGCACAAAGAAAAUGAAAAGAGCUAGGUUUUUAUCAGCUCCGUUUGCUAUUUUUCUUUAUUUUCAAUAUUCCGAUCCAGUAAGCUUCAACGAGUAUUCAUUAUAAAAAAAGAGAAGAUCAUUUAAAAUGGAGAUGCUUGAUGUGUAAAAUGUAAAUGAAUGAACCUCCUACUCAUAUCCCUGCCUUUAUUUUUUAAAAUUGUUAGAUUUACAACUAUAGAUUAUGUUCAUAUGCUUAACACACAACGCUUAUCAGUGUUGACUCAAGUUGCAGUUAUCUGAACGCUAUGCAUAUCAUUUUUACUACUUUGAAUAAAUCUUUUCUUCACACAACUUAGUAGGCAAGUGACUCUCGACAGUAUUCAUCUGAUAUUUUUGCUAAAUGGUAGCAACCUGCAAGAGACUGAAAUAAAUUUCUGUAUAUUUUUGUCUGCUGCCCUCCUGUGGCCAUAAAAGCCCAUGUAAAAUCUUACUUUCAAAGGCUAAUUGAGAUUCACCAGCAGAGGUGAUCAAAAAAAUACCCAAUUUCUUUACUCACGUAAAUUGUAAAUGCAAAUAAUUAUCUAAAUAACGCUUCAGAUUUGUCCUCUAAUUAAUGCUGAACUGAACUUAGUAAAAGUACUAGGAAAAGUGACAAAAGAGGUCUGCCGUAAAUCAUCAUGAUUUUAAUUUCUGAUGGUAUCAACAUGGAAAAACAUGGGACAACUAAAGCUUUUUUUUUUUAAAAAAACAAAAAACAAAAACAGCUUUAUUCCUAAUGUUGCCUAGCACGAUAACCUGAAUGCUAAAGGUUAGUGUACAAACAGCGAACUGUACCGUUUACACUCUCGGACACCCAAAUUGUACAGUACAUCUGUGGCUGUGAAAGCCUUUGCUUCUUGUUUUUUUUUUACUGUUUAGUAAUGGAACCCAAUCUGGUCUUCUGUUGUUGCAGCUGAUCCAUCUUAAGUUUAAUAUUUUGUCCAUGCUGACCAUGGUGGUAAAAAAAAGAAGUAGCCUUUAUUAUUGCCACACAUACAGCUGAAUUAUUUUCUUCACAUCUCCCAGCUGAGGAAGGAAGUAGGGGUCAGAGCACAGGGGCAGCUAUGAUACAGCCCUUCUGGAGUAAUAAGGGUUAAGGGCCUUGCUCAAGGGCCCAAUAGUGGCAGCUUGGCAGUGCUGGGGCUUAAACCCCAAUCAACAACCCAGAGCCUUAACCACUUGAGCCACCACUGCUCUGAUUAUCAAGAUAAUUUGUGCUACUGUAGACUUCUUGGCAACUAGAACUAAUCUGCCCAUUUUCCUCUGACCUCUCUUAACAAGAUGUUCCCACCACUCUGCGUAAACUCUAGAGACUGUUGUAUGUGAAUAUCCCGGAUUAGCCAUUUCUGAAAUAUGUAAACCAGCCUCUCUGGGACCAACAACCAUGCCACAAAGAUUUUUCAUAACUUUCCGGUGUUCUGAAGCUCUUGAUAUACAUCUGUAUAAUUUGAUUCAUUAUGCUGCUGACAGUGAAUGCAUGCAGUACAAGAUAGAUUACAUUAUUAGUAUUGGGUCUUAUUCUUACAGUCAGGUGUUAAGGUUUGGAUUUGCUAGGAAAUCAGAUGAACAAGUGAGAGAGUUUGAAAGUGUAGCAAGUAGAAGGAAAACAUUUCUUUUAAAAUGUAGUGUCAAAACCAAGCACAGAUAUUUAACAACAGAUUUAAGUACAAUAUCAAUCUAAUUAUAUUUUGUUUCUUCUCACAUGAAACUUUAUUGGAGAGAUAUUUACGUUCAGAGAGAUUAGUCCUUAUCUGAGUAAAAAACCGCCCAAAAAAAUCGAAAUAAAAGCUCACAAUAUUUUUUAUGCAAUCAUUUUAUUUAAAAAAAAUCAUUCAACAAAUGUGCAAACCAACCAAU